UAAGACUGGGAUAACUUCGGGAAACCGGAGCUAAUACCGGACAACAUUUGGAACCGCAUGGUUCUAAAGUAAAAGAUGGUUUUGCUAUCACUUAUAGAUGGACCCGCGCCGUAUUAGCUAGUUGGUAAGGUAACGGCUUACCAAGGCAACGAUACGUAGCCGACCUGAGAGGGUGAUCGGCCACACUGGAACUGAGACACGGUCCAGACUCCUACGGGAGGCAGCAGUAGGGAAUCUUCCGCAAUGGACGAAAGUCUGACGGAGCAACGCCGCGUGAGUGAUGAAGGUUUUCGGAUCGUAAAACUCUGUUAUUAGGGAAGAACAAAUGUGUAAGUAACUGUGCACAUCUUGACGGUACCUAAUCAGAAAGCCACGGCUAACUACGUGCCAGCAGCCGCGGUAAUACGUAGGUGGCAAGCGUUAUCCGGAAUUAUUGGGCGUAAAGCGCGCGUAGGCGGUUUCUUAAGUCUGAUGUGAAAGCCCACGGCUCAACCGUGGAGGGUCAUUGGAAACUGGGAAACUUGAGUACAGAAGAGGAAAGUGGAAUUCCAUGUGUAGCGGUGAAAUGCGCAGAGAUAUGGAGGAACACCAGUGGCGAAGGCGACUUUCUGGUCUGUAACUGACGCUGAUGUGCGAAAGCGUGGGGAUCAAACAGGAUUAGAUACCCUGGUAGUCCACGCCGUAAACGAUGAGUGCUAAGUGUUAGGGGGUUUCCGCCCCUUAGUGCUGCAGCUAACGCAUUAAGCACUCCGCCUGGGGAGUACGACCGCAAGGUUGAAACUCAGAG
rnacentral:rRNA from 1 species